CGUAGGGUGCAAGCGUUAAUCGGAAUUACUGGGCGUAAAGCGUGCGCAGGCGGCUUUGCAAGACAGAUGUGAAAUCCCCGGGCUUAACCUGGGAACUGCAUUUGUGACUGCAUGGCUAGAGUGCGGCAGAGGGGGAUGGAAUUCCGCGUGUAGCAGUGAAAUGCGUAGAUAUGCGGAGGAACACCGAUGGCGAAGGCAAUCCCCUGGGCCUGCACUGACGCUCAUGCACGAAAGCGUGGGGAGCAAACAGGAUUAGAUACCCUGGUAGUCCACGCCCUAAACGAUGUCAACUGGUUGUUGGACGGCUUGCUGUUCAGUAACGAAGCUAACGCGUGAAGUUGACCGCCUGGGGAGUACGGCCGCAAGGUUG
rnacentral:rRNA from 1 species